UCAACAUGAGAGUUUGAUCCUGGCUCAGAACGAACGCUGGCGGCAGGCUUAACACAUGCAAGUCGAGCGAAGACUUCGGUCUUAGCGGCGGACGGGUGAGUAACGCGUGGGAACGUGCCCUUCUCUACGGAAUAGCCCAGGGAAACUUGGAGUAAUACCGUAUACGCCCUUCGGGGGAAAGAUUUAUCGGAGAAGGAUCGGCCCGCGUUGGAUUAGGUAGUUGGUGGGGUAAUGGCCUACCAAGCCGACGAUCCAUAGCUGGUUUGAGAGGAUGAUCAGCCACACUGGGACUGAGACAC
rnacentral:rRNA from 1 species